rnacentral:rRNA from 1 species
GUGCCAGCCGCCGCGGUAAUACGUAGGUGGCAAGCGUUAUCCGGAUUUACUGGGCGUAAAGAGUGCGUAGGCGGUUCUUCAAGUCGGAUGUGAAAUCUCCCGGCUUAACCGGGAGGGGUCAUUCGAAACUGUUGGACUAGAGGACAGCAGGGGGAGGUGGAAUUCCCGGUGUAGUGGUGAAAUGCGUAGAUAUCGGGAGGAACACCAGUGGCGAAGGCGGCCUCCUGGGCUGUCUCUGACGCUGAGGCUCGAAAGUGUGGGGAGCGAACAGGAUUAGAUACCCUGGUAGUCCACACUGUAAACAAUGGACACUAGGUAUGGGGAGUAUCGACCCUUUCUGUGCCGAAGCUAACGCUUUAAGUGUCCCGCCUGGGGACUACGGCCGCAAGGCUAAAACUCAAAUGAAUUGACGGGG